rnacentral:rRNA from 1 species
UACGAAGGGGGGCUAGCGUUGUUCGGAAUUACUGGGCGUAAAGCGCACGUAGGCGGAAUGUUAAGUCAGGGGUGAAAUCCCGGGGCUCAACCCCGGAACUGCCUUUGAUACUGGCAUUCUCGAGUCCGGAAGAGGUGAGUGGAAUUCCGAGUGUAGAGGUGAAAAUUCGUAGAUAUUCGGAGGAACACCAGUGGCGAAGGCGGCUCAC